GCUCAGGUGUUUACUUGUCACAUUUCUGGGAGGAAUGCCAGGCUCCUUGAACAUUACUAUUUCUAAAACUUUAUGUCCUCUCUUUUAACUUGUUCCUCUGAAAAAAGUGCAACAGCAUUAAAGAAUAGCUAACUAGACUCCAAGAGUUUGUAUUUGUGCUGGAUGAGGAAAAGGUAAACAGCAAACACAAAGGUCAGGGUCUCUUACUGAACCUGAACCCACUACUCUGGUUAUACAUGUUGACGAGGAAAUCCCAGGGACCCAGCUGUCUCUGGUUCUCCAAUGGAAGUAUUACAGAUAUAACCACCUGACCCUGAAAUUUAGGGCACAACUCAUCUGCGUAUUUUCCCACAUCUGUGGGGCACUUUAUGUGAGUGAUUGGAUGGCCACUAGGACACAGGCUGUAAUGAGCAACAGGUGUUUCUGUUACCUUUCCCUUCUCUAACAGACUGAGUUCACUGCUUUUUGGAAGAGAAUUGAAGAAACACAAUAGCCUCCCGUGACCUGUUUUCCAGCAGUAUACACACCAUACAGCUGAGACAGGUGAGAGUCACCCCCUCUUAGAUGCGAAAGAGUUUCCAAAAGGAAUUCAGUAAAACCUGGUGCUUAAAGAAGAGAAAAGAAAAGCCAGGGC